UACGUAGGGUGCGAGCGUUAAUCGGAAUUACUGGGCGUAAAGCGUGCGUAGGCGGUUCGUUGUGUCUGUGGUGAAAGCCCCGGGCUUAACCUGGGAAUGGCCAUGGAAACUGGCGAGCUGGAGUGUGGCAGAGGGGGGUGGAAUUCCGCGUGUAGCAGUGAAAUGCGUAGAGAUGCGGAGGAACACCGAUGGCGAAGGCAGCCCCCUGGGCUAACACUGACGCUGGAGGCACGAAAGCGUGGGGAGCAAACAGG
rnacentral:rRNA from 1 species